rnacentral:rRNA from 1 species
UAACAAGGAUUCCCUUAGUAACGGCGAGUGAAGCGGGAAGAGCUCAGACUUUAAAGCUUCGGCAUUGUAGUCUGUAUAAGCCAGGUCAGCUCUAGUAAUCAGUAAAGUGUUCUGGAACGGACCGCCAAGGAGGGUGAUAGCCCCGUCUACACUGAUUAUGAAGGCGUACGACCGGCUUUUUAAGAGUCGAGUUGCUUGGGACUGCAGCUCUAAGCGGGUGGUAAAUUCCAUCUAAAGCUAAAUAUUGGUGGGAGACCGAUAGCAAACAAGUACCGUGAGGGAAAGAUGAAAAGAACUUUGAAAAGAGAGUUAAAGAGUACCUGAAAUUGCUGAAAAGGAACCGAUAGGAAGCAGUGUUGAUGUGUGAACUUUUGUAUGGUCCGCAUGCGGACUGUGCUGUUGUUCAUGCAUAAGUUAGGCUUGUUUACUUGUGUGGGAGAGAAUCCAGGCCUGUAUGGAAUGGAGUUUUCGUCACGCGACUGAACGACUCUAACGAAAUGCCUCUUAUCAUCCCGUCUUGAAACACGGACCAAGGAGUCUAACAUGUCUGCAAGUGCUCGGGGUUUAACCCCAGGCGCGAAAUUAACGUAAAUGUGACUUGUCACAGAGGUAGGAUGCUUUGGCUGCACUAUCGACCGACCAUGAUCCUACGGGAGAAAGGUUUGAGUGUGAGCAUACAUGUUGGGACCCGAAAGAUGGUGAACUAUGCUUGAGUAGGACGAAGCCAGGGGAAACUCUGGUGGAGGUCCGCAGCGAUUCUAACGUGCAAAUUGAUCGUCGAACUUGGGUAUAGGGGCGAAAGACUAAUCGAACCAUCUAGUAGCUGGUUCCUCCCGAAAUUUCCCUCAGGAUAGCUGCAACCGAAUAGUUUUAUCAGGUAAAGCGAAUGAUUAGAGGCAUCAGGGGUGGAACGUCCUUGACCUAUUCUCAAACUUUAAAUGGGUAAGAGCCCGAGGUUGCUUAAUUGAACCUUGCGGUCGAAUGACGGUUGCUAGUGGGCCAAUCUGGGUAAGCUAGAUUGGCGAUGCGGGAUGAACCGAACGUCGAGUUAAAGUGCCAAAGUAUCCGCUAACCUAGAUCCCACAAAAGGUGUUGGUUCAUUAAGACAGCAGGACGGUGGCCAUGGAAGUCGGAACCCGCUAAGGAGUGUGUAACAACUCACCUGCCGAAUGAACUAGCCCUGAAAAUGGAUGGCGCUGAAGCGGAUCACUUAUACUCGACCAACCGUGCAAGUACGAAGCACUGUUGAGUAGGGGGGCGUGGAGCUCGUUGUGCAUUCUGUGGCGUGAGCCGGGAUGAAACGGGUUCUAGUGCAGAUCUUGGUAGCAGUAGCAAAUAUUCAAAUGAGAACUUUGAAGACUGACGUGGAGAAAGGUUCCAUGUGAACAGCAAUUGGACAUGGGUGAGUCGAUCCUAAGAGAUAGGAAAAUUCUUUUUCAAAGUGGUCCUUUUUCGGAAGGACCCGCCUAUCGAAAGGGAAUCGGGUUAAUAUUCCCGAACCAGGACGUGGAUAUUGAGUGGUAACACAAGCGAAAUCGGGGACGUUGGCGGGAGCCCUGGGAAGAGUUCUCUUUUCUUUUUAACAGCUCGAUAGACCUUGGAAUCGGAUUGCCCGGCGAUAAGGUUUAUUGGCUGGGAAAGCAGCAUACUUUUUGUGCUGUCCGGUGCGCUCCCGACGAUCCGUGAAAACCCGGUGGCGUGACUUAUUCGCACCCCUGGUCGUACUCAUAACCGCCUCAGGUCUCCAAGGUGCGCAGCCUCUAGUCAAUAGAAUAAUGUAGAUAAGGGAAGUCGGCAAAAUAGAUCCGUAACCUCGGGAUAAGGAUUGGCUCUGAGGGUUGGGCCUAGGGGUCUCAGGAACGAAGGAUGCGGCGGCUAGGAGGGGACUGCGGCUCACGCUGUGGACCCCACCCGGCUGCUCUCCCGAGGUCUUGAGAACGUCUUCGGACUUUCCCUAGUGCGUGGAACAACCAACUCAGAACUGGAGCGGACAAGGGGAAUCCCGACUGUUUAAUUAAAACAAAGCAUUGCGAUGGCUGGAGACGGUGUGACGCAAUG